CAAACAUAAUAAAAGAGAUGUAUCAAAUAAUACUGAUUCACAUCUAUAUAUCCAGCUGAAUGAGUUCGUCUCAAAAUUCUGAACUGGUUAUUGUACUAAGUUGCGCAAUAAGACGGAACCCAGUCA